rnacentral:rRNA from 1 species
AUUGAACGCUGGCGGCAUGCCUUACACAUGCAAGUCGAACGGUAACGGGCCUUUGGGUGCCGACGAGUGGCGAACGGGUGAGUAAUACAUCGGAACGUGCCCGAUCGUGGGGGAUAACGAGGCGAAAGCUUUGCUAAUACCGCAUACGAUCUACGGAUGAAAGCAGGGGACCGCAAGGCCUUGCGCGGACGGAGCGGCCGAUGGCAGAUUAGGUAGUUGGUGGGAUAAAAGCUUACCAAGCCGACGAUCUGUAGCUGGUCUGAGAGGAUGAUCAGCCACACUGGGACUGAGACACGGCCCAGACUCCUACGGGAGGCAGCAGUGGGGAAUUUUGGACAAAGGGCGCAAGCCUGAUCCAGCCAUGCCGCGUGCAGGAUGAAGGCCUUCGGGUUGUAAACUGCUUUUGUACGGAACGAAAAGCCUUCUUUUAAUACAGGAGGGUCAUGACGGUACCGUAAGAAUAAGCACCGGCUAACUACGUG